UACAGAGGUCUCAAGCGUUGUUCGGAUUCAUUGGGCGUAAAGGGUGUGUAGGUGGCGCCGUAAGUCGGGUGUGAAAUUUCGGAGCUUAACUCCGAAACUGCAUUCGAUACUGCGGUGCUUGAGGACUGGAGAGGAGACUGGAAUUUACGGUGUAGCAGUGAAAUGCGUAGAGAUCGUAAGGAAGACCAGUGGCGAAGGCGGGUCUCUGGACAGUUCCUGACACUGAGGCACGAAGGCCAGGGGAGGCAAACGGGAUUAGAA
rnacentral:rRNA from 1 species